AUUUACAUAGCUUAAUUUAAUAGAGCAUAGUAUUGAAGCUACUAAGGAAAACUCAGUUUUGUGAAUG
rnacentral:tRNA from 1 species